GAUGAACGCUGGCGGCGUGCCUAAUACAUGCAAGUCGAGCGGACGGACGCGAAGCUUGCUUCUCUGAUGUUAGCGGCGGACGGGUGAGUAACACGUGGAUAACCUACCUAUUAGGCUGGGGUAACUUCGGGAGACCGUAGCUAAUACCGGAUAAUAUUUUGAACCGCAUGGUUCAAAAGUGAAAGACGGUAUUGCUGUCACUUAUAGCUGGCUCCGUGCUGCAUUAGCUAGUUGGUAAGGUAACGGCUUACUAAGGCAACGAUGCAUAGCCGACCUGAUAGGGGGAUCGCCCACCUGGGAACGUAGACACGGUCCAGACGCCUACGAGAGGCAGCAGUAGGGUACCUGCCGCAGUGGUCGGAAGCCUUACGGAGCAGCGCCGCGCGUGUUAUGAAGGUCUUCGGAUCGUAAAACUCUGUUAUUAGUGAUGAACAUAUUUGGAAGUAACUGUGCACAUCUUGACGGUACCUAAACAGAAAGCCACGGCUAACUACGUG
rnacentral:rRNA from 1 species